rnacentral:rRNA from 1 species
GUUCUCCGGCGAGGGGAAGGCGCGAAGCGCCAUACCCGCAGGGAAACCGAGCCUGAAAAGGGCGCAAGUCGGAGGGCGCAGGCCCGAAACCGGGUGAUCUACCCUUGUCCAGGAUGAAGACGCCUUAAGCGGCGUUGGAGGUCCGCACGCACAUCUGUUGAAAAAAGGUGGCGAUGAGGUGAGGGUAGGGGAGAAAUUCCAAUCGAACCCGGAGAUAGCUGGUUCUCCCCGAAAUAGCUUUAGGGCUAGCCUCGUGCAAGCCUUACGGAGGUAGAGCACUGGAUUUCCGAGGGGGCGUCAAAGCUUACCAAAGAAUAUCAAACUUCGAAUGCCGCAAAGGCGGUGCACGGGAGUCAGGCCGCACGAGAUAAGUCGGGCGGCCAAAAGGGAAACAGCCCAGACCAGCAGUUAAGGCCCCAAAGUGCGUGUUAAGUGGGAAAGGAUGUGGGGUCUCGAAGACAACUAGGAUGUUGGCUCAGAAGCAGCCAUACAUUCAAAGAGUGCGUAAUAGCUCACUAGUCGAGAGGCCCCGCGCCGAAAAAUGACCGGGGGCC